UGGGGCGUAGCCAAACGGCAAGGCAGCGGACUCUGGAUCCGCCAUCUGAAGGUUCGAAUCCUUCCGCCCCAGCCA
rnacentral:tRNA from 1 species